rnacentral:lncRNA from 1 species
UGGGUUUACAUUAUUGAAACAUGGCACAUAUUUAUAUAUGCAAAGCUGAACAAUGUAGUGUAUAGUACAUGUGUGACUCUCAUGAAAGAAAUAAAUGUUCAGAAUGAUAAGAUAUAUUGCAUGACAAACCAACUAGUGCAUAACUCUGAAAACAAGGAUGAUGAAUGAAAAAACAAUCCCCUCUAUAAUUAUUGUGAAAUAACUCGCAUACCAUACCACCAUGGAUUGAACUAUGCUAUGAAUGAAGAUGAGAACAAACUUGUACCAACAACUGUCCUCGCUACUCCAAGCGGACGCCCCAUUCCCUUCUGCCUCUAGAUCAUGUGGCAGUCCCAUGACUCUGACGUGAAACUAGCGAGACGUAGCAUAUCAUCAUGUGUAAUUAAGGGCCGAGUUGGUAUGAGUUCUGAAUUCUGAACUCCAAUACACGCAAUCAUCUGCGAAAGAAACUCAUGGUCCAGUCAUGAGGAUGAAUUAAGGAGAUGCAUUGGGAAUGAUAAUCAUGAGAUAUUUGUUGCGGGAGAGGCCGCAUGCUUCGUCAUGGCUAAUAACCACACCAAAAUAAGGACAACUUGGUACGACUAACUGAUCUACUCUCUAUUAAAAAGAACUGACAAACUAAGGCAUUAAUAGCCCUGCUCGAUCCAAGGACAAGUAUUUAUCUUGACCAUUCUUACUUUAUGUUAUCAUCAGCACAUGAUAGAAAGUGCACAAAAAAUAGUUGUAGGCAUGACAUGUCCUGACAUAGUGACACUAAGUACAACCAAAAGGGCUGGAAAGAGCUGGCAUGGGGUUACCGACAAAAUGGUGGUUGACCAUGGUUUAACUUAUUUGCUAAAUUGCAGUAUCAAAAUCACCAUGCCGAUGCUUGUUGUACUAUAUAAAUACAGUAAUACGUCACAUGCCCAAAUAGCUAGUACAACACAACUUAAUUGAUAACAUGACUCAUACUUCAGUUGAGAAUUUGUUUACUGGUACUGAUUCCCUAGCCUAUAUAUGGGGUAGCUUAGCCUAGAUUCUUGCUUAUCUUUCACCAAGGAACACAUGCUGCGUUGACAAGAAAUUAAUCACAAGGACGACAUUGUACAUUUAUAUAUACUCUGAGGCUAAACACAAAGAUCUAUAUAUGCGCCUAUGAGGCUAUGAGAGUAUGAGUUGGAUGAAUCAUUCAAUGAUUUAAUGGUAUCACAAGAACAUGGAGAGGUAUCAAACCUUUGCUUACCUGCUUGCUAAAUUAACGUCUCAAUUGUUAUUAGGAAACCAUCGCCAUCAGUAAAUUGUCAUCAAAAUAUUUUGGAGUACUAGAGCUGGUUGAGCAGUUAGUACGUGAUGAUACACGUGAUCUGCAUUACCAUCGCACAUCCACAGAAUCUGGUUCAUUGCUGUGACACACGAGCUGAUGACCUUAACUGAAACCUGAAAGCCAGAGCUCCGUUAUUGCAUUGCUAAAGGAGCAUUCCUCCCUUGUGUGUCAGCACCAUAGCCCCAGCACAACCAUGGAAAUCUGCAGCUUCUAAAGAAGUGUUAAUAGUCGUAGAGCUUCACAGAAAGUCAAGAACAUCAUAACAAAGAGUAGC